ACAUGCAGUCGAGCGAACGGACGAGAAGCUUGCUUCUCUGAUGUUAGCGGCGGACGGGUGAGUAACACGUGGAUAACCUACCUAUAAGACUGGGAUAACUUCGGGAAACCGGAGCUAAUACCGGAUAAUAUUUUGAACCGCAUGGUUCAAAAGUGAAAGACGGUCUUGCUGUCACUUAUAGAUGGAUCCGCGCUGCAUUAGCUAGUUGGUAAGGUAACGGCUUACCAAGGCAACGAUGCAUAGCCGACCUGAGAGGGUGAUCGGCCACACUGGAACUGAGACACGGUCCAGACUCCUACGGGAGGCAGCAGUAGGGAAUCUUCCGCAAUGGGCGAAAGCCUGACGGAGCAACGCCGCGUGAGUGAUGAAGGUCUUCGGAUCGUAAAACUCUGUUAUUAGGGAAGAACAUAUGUGUAAGUAACUGUGCACAUCUUGACGGUACCUAAUCAGAAAGCCACGGCUAACUACGUGCCAGCAGCCGCGGUAAUACGUAGGUGGCAAGCGUUAUCCGGAAUUAUUGGGCGUAAAGCGCGCGUAGGCGGUUUUUUAAGUCUGAUGUGAAAGCCCACGGCUCAACCGUGGAGGGUCAUUGGAAACUGGAAAACUUGAGUGCAGAAGAGGAAAGUGGAAUUCCAUGUGUAGCGGUGAAAUGCGCAGAGAUAUGGAGGAACACCAGUGGCGAAGGCGACUUUCUGGUCUGUAACUGACGCUGAUGUGCGAAAGCGUGGGGAUCAAACAGGAUUAGAUACCCUGGUAGUCCACGCCGUAAACGAUGAGUGCUAAGUGUUAGGGGGUUUCCGCCCCUUAGUGCUGCAGCUAACGCAUAAGCACUCC
rnacentral:rRNA from 1 species